rnacentral:pre_miRNA from 1 species
AGAGGGAUAACUGGGUCAAAUGGUGGUUCCAUUCCAAGUUUUCUGAGGAAUCUCCACACUGCUUUUCAGAGUGGUUGCCAUCAAUUUGUACUCCCACCAGCAAU